GAUGAACGCUGGCGGCGUGCCUAAUACAUGCAAGUCGAGCGAACAGACGAGGAGCUUGCUCCUCUGACGUUAGCGGCGGACGGGUGAGUAACACGUGGAUAACCUACCUAUAAGACUGGGAUAACUUCGGGAAACCGGAGCUAAUACCGGAUAAUAUAUUGAACCGCAUGGUUCAAUAGUGAAAGACGGUUUUGCUGUCACUUAUAGAUGGAUCCGCGCCGCAUUAGCUAGUUGGUAAGGUAACGGCUUACCAAGGCAACGAUGCGUAGCCGACCGGAGAGGGUGAUCGGCCACCCUGGAACUGAGACACCGUCCAUGCUCCUACGGGAGGCCGCAGUAGGGAAUCUUCCGCAAUGGUCGAAAGCCUUACGGAGCAACGCCGCGUGAGUGAUGAAGGUCUUCGGUUCGUAAAGCUCUGUUAUUAGGUAUGAACAACUUUGUAAGUAACUAUGCACUUCUUGACGGUACCUAAUCAGAAAGCCACGGCUAACUACGUG
rnacentral:rRNA from 1 species